rnacentral:rRNA from 1 species
AUACGGAGGGAGCUAGCGUUGUUCGGAAUUACUGGGCGUAAAGCGCGCGUAGGCGGCUGUUUAAGUCAGAGGUGAAAGCCUGGAGCUCAACUCCAGAACUGCCUUUGAGACUGGACAGCUAGAAUCCUGGAGAGGUGAGUGGAAUUCCGAGUGUAGAGGUGAAAUUCGUAGAUAUUCGGAAGAACACCAGUGGCGAAGGCGGCUCACUGGGACAGGUAUUGACGCUGAGGUGCGAAAGCGUGGGGAGC